rnacentral:lncRNA from 1 species
UUAAGACAAUAAAAAAUUAAAAGUACUUCAGUUAAGCCAAUAAGCAUAAUCCAAUAUAUAAUAUUACUUCAUCAAAACAUAAUAAAUACUCCAAUUAAAAAAUAUACACCAUCUAACCAAAUAACUAUGAAAAGUGUUCAAAAGUUAUGUAAACGAUUUAUAACCGAAGCUUCAAACGAGUCCCAACCCAAUCUUUUUACGUAGACGAGAUCCAAGAAGACACAAGCACAAAAGAGGUUGAACUCACUUCAGCUCCAUGUAACUGCAAAAAAGAAAGAAUAUAACAACAAAUUAAUCAAAACAGGCAAGCAAUUAAGAAACAAUACAAUGUCAUUUAAAGCUUUUUGAGACACAACUAUACUCAUUCAACUUUUUACAUAGCCUAUCUAUACUUGUGUAUGCAUACAUAUAUAGCCACACUUGAAACAUGUUUAAUGAAAAAUACAUAAAUGAAAAAAAUGCAGAAAUUUAUAAAGUACCUUCAUCAAAUAAGUCUAACACAGCUCUUUGGCCAAGCAAUAGUACUUCCUAUGACGUCACUAAGAACUCGAAAUUCAUCUGUUGGUCUAUAUAAGGGCAAAUGACUCAUGUACACCUCGUCAACCCAAACCUUCCAACAAUCUCGUCCUAGUGGCACGUGAUGCACCUUUGCACUUAGGUCUAUUGAUGCAAUCUUCCCUUCGCCUACAAUUUCCUCCUCAAACAUGUACCAGUGCAAUAGUUGACACUUUCCAUUUUCCCUUCGCCUCCAAUUUCCUCUCUUUUUCAUGAAGUUGGGGAAAGAAGAUUCAUAAUGUUCCUCAGGUAUAAGGUUUCCACAUUUGUCACCCCAUCAGUACCUUUAUUUAAAAUAACAACAAAUGUUGGUUUCAUCUAGAAAGUAUCUCAAUUUCUUUCCAAUGUACAAUAAUAGAUCAAAUACUGUCUAACCAAGAAUGUAUAAAAUAAAUUACUACUUGACAAAAAAUAUCACACACACUUCAGACUCAAUUGCAGUUUUCUUG